ncrna:unclassified sequences Flavobacterium-1 RNA
AAGCUCAAGGGCGUACAUAUCUUGCCAAUGGCAUUUCCCUGGACGUUACCUGUGACCUGCAAGGGUAGGGACCUGGAGUUUGGCCGGCCGCUAGUACGUCGACGGAACGCGGCUGGUU